rnacentral:rRNA from 1 species
AUUGAACGCUGGCGGCAGGCCUAACACAUGCAAGUCGAGCGAGCGGCGGACGGGUGAGUAAUGUAUGGGGAUCUGCCCGAUGGAGGGGGAUAACUACUGGAAACGGUAGCUAAUACCGCAUACCAUCAGAUGAACCCAUAUGGGAUUAGCUAGUAGGUGGGGUAACGGCUUACCUAGGCGACGAUCCCUAGCUGGUCUGAGAGGAUGAUCAGCCACACGGGAACUGAGACACGGCCCAGACUCCUACGGGAGGCAGCAGUGGGGAAUAUUGGAAAAUGGGCGCAAGCCUGAUGCAGCCAUGCCGCGUGUAUGAAGAAGGCCUUCGGGUUGUAAAGUACUUUCAGUCGGGAGGCGUUACCGACAGAAGAAGCACCGGCUAACUCCGUGCCAGCCGCCGCGGUAAUAC